rnacentral:rRNA from 1 species
GAUGAACGCUGGCGGCGUGCCUAAUACAUGCAAGUCGAGCGAACAGACGAGGAGCUUGCUCCUCUGACGUUAGCGGCGGACGGGUGAGUAACACGUGGAUAACCUACCUAUAAGACUGGGAUAACUUCGGGAAACCGGAGCUAAUACCGGAUAAUAUAUUGAACCGCAUGGUUCAAUAGUGAAAGACGGUUUUGCUGUCACUUAUAGAUGGAUCCGCGCCGCAUUAGCUAGUUGGUAAGGUAACGGCUUACCAAGGCAACGAUGCGUAGCCGACCUGAGAGGGUGAUCGGCCACACUGGAACUGGGACACGGUCCAGACUCCUACGGGAGGCAGCAGUAGGGAAUCUUCCGCAAUGGGCGAAAGCCUGGCGGAGCAGCGCCGCGUGAGUGAUGAAGGUCUUCGGAUCGUAAAACUCUGUUAUUAGGGAAGAACAAAUGUGUAAGUAACUAUGCACGUCUUGACGGUACCUAAUCAGAAAGCCACGGCUAACUACGUG